GAUGAACGCUGGCGGCGUGCUUAACACAUGCAAGUCGAACGAUGAAGCUCAGCUUGCUGGGUGGAUUAGUGGCGAACGGGUGAGUAACACGUGUGUAACCUGCCCUUAACUCUGGGAUAAGUCUGGGAAACUAGGUCUAAUACCGGAUAGGAGCGCCUACCGCACGGGGUGUGUUGGAAAGAUUUAUCGGUCUUGGAUGGACUCGCGGCCUAUCAGCUUGUUGGUGAGGUAAUGGCUAACCAAGGCGACGACGGGUAUCCGGCCCGCGGGGGUGACCGGCCACCUCGGUACUGAGACACGGCCCAGCCUCCUACGGGCGGCAGCAGUGAGUAAUAUUCCCCAAUGGGCGAAGGCCUGAUGCAGCGAGGCCGUGUGAGGGAUGACGGCCUUCGGGUUGUAGACCUCUUUCAGUAGGGAAGAAGCGAAAGUGACGGUACCUGCAGAAGAAGCACCGGCUAACUACGUG
rnacentral:rRNA from 1 species